UGGGGACUCGUCUAAUGGUAGGACAGCGGAUUCUGGUUCCGUAAGUCGGGGUUCGAAUCCCUGGUCCCCAGCCA
rnacentral:tRNA from 1 species